rnacentral:piRNA from 1 species
ACCCAACUGAUAUACUGGGAUGAAGCUGU